rnacentral:rRNA from 1 species
GGUUAAGCGACUAAGCGUACACGGUGGAUGCCCUGGCAGUCAGAGGCGAUGAAGGACGUGCUAAUCUGCGAUAAGCGUCGGUAAGGUGAUAUGAACCGUUAUAACCGGCGAUUUCCGAAUGGGGAAACCCAGUGUGAUUCGUCACACUAUCAUUAACUGAAUCCAUAGGUUAAUGAGGCGAACCGGGGGAACUGAAACAUCUAAGUACCCCGAGGAAAAGAAAUCAACCGAGAUUCCCCCAGUAGCGGCGAGCGAACGGGGAGGAGCCCAGAGCCUGAAUCAGUGUGUGUGUUAGUGGAAGCGUCUGGAAAGGCGCGCGAUACAGGGUGACAGCCCCGUACACAAAAAUGCACAUGCUGUGAGCUCGAUGAGUAGGGCGGGACACGUGGUAUCCUGUCUGAAUAUGGGGGGACCAUCCUCCAAGGCUAAAUACUCCUGACUGACCGAUAGUGAACCAGUACCGUGAGGGAAAGGCGAAAAGAACCCCGGCGAGGGGAGUGAAAAAGAACCUGAAACCGUGUACGUACAAGCAGUGGGAGCACGCUCAGGCGUGUGACUGCGUACCUUUUGUAUAAUGGGUCAGCGACUUAUAUUCUGUAGCAAGGUUAACCGAAUAGGGGAGCCGAAGGGAAACCGAGUCUUAACUGGGCGUUAAGUUGCAGGGUAUAGACCCGAAACCCGGUGAUCUAGCCAUGGGCAGGUUGAAGGUUGGGUAACACUAACUGGAGGACCGAACCGACUAAUGUUGAAAAAUUAGCGGAUGACUUGUGGCUGGGGGUGAAAGGCCAAUCAAACCGGGAGAUAGCUGGUUCUCCCCGAAAGCUAUUUAGGUAGCGCCUCGUGAAUUCAUCUCCGGGGGUAGAGCACUGUUUCGGCAAGGGGGUCAUCCCGACUUACCAACCCGAUGCAAACUGCGAAUACCGGAGAAUGUUAUCACGGGAGACACACGGCGGGUGCUAACGUCCGUCGUGAAGAGGGAAACAACCCAGACCGCCAGCUAAGGUCCCAAAGUCAUGGUUAAGUGGGAAACGAUGUGGGAAGGCCCAGACAGCCAGGAUGUUGGCUUAGAAGCAGCCAUCAUUUAAAGAAAGCGUAAUAGCUCACUGGUCGAGUCGGCCUGCGCGGAAGAUGUAACGGGGCUAAACCAUGCACCGAAGCUGCGGCAGCGACGCUUAUGCGUUGUUGGGUAGGGGAGCGUUCUGUAAGCCUGUGAAGGUGUGCUGUGAGGCAUGCUGGAGGUAUCAGAAGUGCGAAUGCUGACAUAAGUAACGAUAAAGCGGGUGAAAAGCCCGCUCGCCGGAAGACCAAGGGUUCCUGUCCAACGUUAAUCGGGGCAGGGUGAGUCGACCCCUAAGGCGAGGCCGAAAGGCGUAGUCGAUGGGAAACAGGUUAAUAUUCCUGUACUUGGUGUUACUGCGAAGGGGGGACGGAGAAGGCUAUGUUGGCCGGGCGACGGUUGUCCCGGUUUAAGCGUGUAGGCUGGUUUUCCAGGCAAAUCCGGAAAAUCAAGGCUGAGGCGUGAUGACGAGGCACUACGGUGCUGAAGCAACAAAUGCCCUGCUUCCAGGAAAAGCCUCUAAGCAUCAGGUAACAUCAAAUCGUACCCCAAACCGACACAGGUGGUCAGGUAGAGAAUACCAAGGCGCUUGAGAGAACUCGGGUGAAGGAACUAGGCAAAAUGGUGCCGUAACU